GAGGUGUUAGCUUAAUUUUAAAGUAAGAGAUUUUUGAUCUUUUGAUGGUUUUCACACUUUA
rnacentral:tRNA from 1 species